CAGCUUGUUGGUGAGGUAAUGGCUCACCAAGGCGUCGACGGGUAGCCGGCCUGAGAGGGUGACCGGCCACACUGGGACUGAGACACGGCCCAGACUCCUACGGGAGGCAGCAGUGGGGAAUAUUGCACAAUGGGCGGAAGCCUGAUGCAGCAACGCCGCGUGAGGGAUGACGGCCUUCGGGUUGUAAACCUCUUUUAGCAAGGAAGAAGCGAAAGUGACGGUACUUGCAGAAAAAGCGCCGGCUAACUACGUGCCAGCAGCCGCGGUAAUACGUAGGGCGCAAGCGUUAUCCGGAAUUAUUGGGCGUAAAGAGCUCGUAGGCGGUUUGUCGCGUCUGCUGUGAAAACUGGAGGCUCAACCUCCAGCCUGCAGUGGGUACGGGCAGACUAGAGUGCGGUAGGGGAGAUUGGAAUUCCUGGUGUAGCGGUGGAAUGCGCAGAUAUCAGGAGGAACACCGAUGGCGAAGGCAGAUCUCUGGGCCGUAACUGACGCUGAGGAGCGAAAGGGUGGGGAGCAAACAGGCUUAGAUACCCUGGUAGUCCACCCCGU
rnacentral:rRNA from 1 species